GGAAGGAAAAGUCGUAACAAGGUUUCCGUAGGUGAACCUGCGGAAGGAUCAUUACUGAGUUAGGGUCUUUAUGGCCCGACCUCCAACCCUUUGUUUAAUCUACCAUGUUGCUUUGGCAGGCCCGCUUAGAAAUGGGCCGCCGGAGACCUUUGAGUCUCUGGUCAGUGCCUGCCAGUAGCCUUUCUAAAUUCAUUUAUAACCAUGUCUGAAUAUACAAAGAAAAAUUAAAAUAAAACUUUCAACAACGGAUCUCUUGGUUCUG
rnacentral:misc_RNA from 1 species